rnacentral:tRNA from 1 species
GUGAUAGUUCAGUGGUAGAAUUCAUGCUUUGGGCCUUCCGCCAAAAAUGUAUGAGGUCCUGGGUUCAAUCCCCAGUUAGGCC